rnacentral:rRNA from 1 species
UACGAAGGGGGGCUAGCGUUGUUCGGAAUUACUGGGCGUAAAGCGCGCGUAGGCGGAUAUUUAAGUCAGGGGUGAAAUCCCAGAGCUCAACUCUGGAGCUGCCUUUGAUACUGGGUAUCUAGAGUAUGGAAGAGGUGAGUGGAAUUCCGAGUGUAGAGGUGAAAUUCGUAGAUAUUCGGAGGAACACCAGUGGCGAAGGCGGCUCACUGGUCCAUUACUGACGCUGAGGUGCGAAAGCGUGGGGAGCGAACAGG